rnacentral:rRNA from 1 species
UACGAAGGGUGCUAGCGUUGUUCGGAAUUACUGGGCGUAAAGCGCACGUAGGCGGACUCUUAAGUCAGGGGUGAAAUCCCGGGGCUCAACCUCGGAACUGCCUUUGAUACUGUGAGGCUCGAGACCGGAAGAGGUGAGUGGAAUUCCUAGUGUAGAGGUGAAAUUCGUAGAUAUUAGGAAGAACACCAGUGGCGAAGGCGGCUCACUGGCCCGGUUCUGACGCUGAGGUGCGAAAGCGUGGGGAGCAAACAGG